rnacentral:tRNA from 1 species
AAAGUGCAAUGGAUUUAGAAUCCAAGUAUGUAAGUUAUUCUUACAAAUAGUACUUGCAAUUGAAUGAU